rnacentral:rRNA from 1 species
UACGGAGGGUGCGAGCGUUGUCCGGAAUCACUGGGCGUAAAGGGCGCGUAGGCGGCUCAUGAAGGCUGUGGUGAAAGUCCGGGGCUCAACCUCGGAUCGGCCGUGGCGACUCGUGGGCUGGAGCACUGUAGAGGCGGGUGGAAUUCCCGGUGUAGCGGUGAAAUGCGCAGAUAUCGGGAAGAACACCCGUGGCGAAGGCGGCUCUCUGGGACGGUACUGACGCUGAGACGCGAAAGCGUGGGGAGCGAACAGG